rnacentral:tRNA from 1 species
GGGCCUGUAGCUUAGUGGUGGAGCGACCGGCUCAUAACCGGUCGGUCGUGGGUUCGAACCCCUCCGGGCCCA